ensembl:misc_RNA 7SK 7SK RNA
GAGUUUGAGACCAGCCUGGCCAACAUGGUGAAACCCCGUCUCUACUAGAACUACAAAAACUGAUUCAGCUGAUCUGGCUGGUUAGGUAGGUGUCCCUUUACUCACUCACUGCUCCAAGUGUGUCCCUCCCGACCCUCCUGAAGCUGUGCAGUGUGUUGAAGAGGACAACCAUCACCAAUGGAGGACCGACCGGUCCUUUAAGGGUAUACGUGUAGCUGGGUUUCCAUUAAAACCUCCAAACAAUCUCUCAAAAACGCAAAUUAUCAGUACUCAUCCCAAACUUAAGAAAUUAGAAAACAUGGCAGGGAGCCAGCAAUGCUUUAACCUGUAGGCAAUUUUGAUGCAUGCAAACAUU